rnacentral:rRNA from 1 species
UACGUAGCAGCGAGCGUUGUUCGGAGUUACUGGGCGUAAAGCGUGCGUAGGCGGUGUCUUAAGUUUGUUGUGAAAUCUCCCGGCUUAACCGGGAGGGUGCGGCGAAUACUGAGAUGCUGGAGUGCCGGAGAGGUAAGCGGAAUUCCUGGUGUAGCGGUGAAAUGCGUAGAUAUCAGGAGGAACACCUGCGGUGUAGACGGCUUACUGGACGGUAACUGACGCUGAGGCACGAAAGCGUGGGUAGCAAACAGG